rnacentral:rRNA from 1 species
UACGGAGGGAGCGAACGUUGUUCGGAUUUACUGGGCGUAAAGGGUGUGUAGGCGGUCUUGCAAGUCAGGGGUGAAAUCUCUCGGCUCAACCGAGAAACUGCCUUUGAGACUGCAGGACUUGAGGGCGUGAGAGGAGACUGGAAUUUAAGGUGUAGCGGUGAAAUGCGUAGAUAUCGUAAGGAAGACCAGUGGCGAAGGCGGGUCUCUGGACAGUUCCUGACGCUGAGGCACGAAGGUCAGGGGAGCAAACGGG